rnacentral:rRNA from 1 species
GAUCCUGGCUCAGGAUGAACGCUAGCGGCAGGCUUAACACAUGCAAGGUCGAGGGGCAGCGCGGGUAGCAAUACCUGGCGGCGACCGGCGAAAGGGUGCGGAACACGUGAGCAACUUGCCCGUGACAGGGGGAUAAGCGCUGGAAACGGCGUCUAAUACCCCGUAACACAAGGGAUGGCAUCGUCCUUUGUUGAAAGUCUUCGGAUGGUCACGGAUGGGCUCGCGCGACAUUAGGUAGACGGCGGGUAACGGCCCACCGUGCCGACGAUGUCUAGGGGUUCUGAGAGGAAGGUCCCCCACACUGGAACUGAGACACGGUCCAGACUCCUACGGGAGCAGCAGUGAGGAAUAUUGGUCAAUGGCCGGAAGGCUGAACCAGCCAUGCCGCGUGCAGGAAUAAGGUCCUAUUGGAUUGUAAACUGCUUUUAUGUGGGAGCAAUAAGGUCUACGUGUAGACCGAUGAGAGUACCAUAUGAAUAAGCAUCGGCUAACUCCGUGCCAGCAGCAGC